AGUGAACGCUGGCGGUAGGCCUAACACAUGCAAGUCGAACGGCAGCACAGUAAGAGCUUGCUCUUACGGGUGGCGAGUGGCGGACGGGUGAGGAAUACAUCGGAAUCUACUUUUUCGUGGGGGAUAACGUAGGGAAACUUACGCUAAUACCGCAUACGACCUACGGGUGAAAGCAGGGGAUCUUCGGACCUUGCGCGAUUGAAUGAGCCGAUGUCGGAUUAGCUAGUUGGCGGGGUAAAGGCCCACCAAGGCGACGAUCCGUAGCUGGUCUGAGAGGAUGAUCAGCAAACCUGGAACUGAGACACGGUCCAGACUCCUACGGGAGGCAGCAGUGGGGAAUAUUGGACAAUGGGCGAAAGCCUGAUCCAGCCAUACCGCGUGGGUGAAGAAGGCCUUCGGGUUGUAAAGCCCUUUUGUUGGGAAAGAAAAGCAGCAGGUUAAUACCCCGCUGUUCUGACGGGACCAAAAGAAUAAGCACCGGCUAACUUCGU
rnacentral:rRNA from 1 species